AGGAGUGUAGCUCAAUUGGUAGAGUGCUGGUCUCCAAAACCAGAGGUUGUAGGUUCAAUUCCUAUCGCUCCUG
rnacentral:tRNA from 1 species